AGCAAUUUUCUCAAAAAAGAGAUAGGAAAAUCUCUACUUCUAAAAAGCUCAUACAGGAAUAGUCAACACCGUCCCUUCGCCUCGCUCGCUCCACUGCUCCCACCUGCGAUCCGCGUGCCCUGACAAGUGCAGUCACGAACACACAUGCUCAAUCAACCCCACGGCUCAAAAAAAAAAAAAAAGUGUCGGGGCGCGGCCGGCAUAGGGGCUCGGAGUGGGAGGCGCCGCCGGCGCAGGGCGCUCGCGGCCAGGUCGGCAGCGGGGCGCGGCCGCCCGUGGAGGCGUGCCGGGGGUGGCGGCGGCCAUGGCGCACACGGCCGUAGCCCAAACACUCAGCUGAUUGCCACGCUGAAUGCUAUCUGAUCCAACAGGAAUUCUAGAGCCACUUCCAAGCCAGGACUUGGCAACCACAAACAUGAAUGCUAAUUUGAACUUAAAGCAGAUGAUAAGUGCUGUACUGGAGCAUUUUCCUUUAACUUAUUUGUGUAUCAUUUUAACCUUUAGUGUUAUUUUUGCAUUAAGGGUUCUACUUUAGCUCUGGACCAGCAAGAAGGAGCUCAUUAUCCAAGAAGCAGAGGAUACUUAUUUUGUGAGCUGUUUAAGAGAACCAAAUAGCAGAGUGCUCUACUCACUGCCAUUCACAUACAUCAAUUUCUAUUUUUUCCCUAUACCAAAAUUAUUGUCUAAUUUGAUAAAUAUAUUUUUGGUGUUUUCAUCAUAGCUGUUGAUUUAAGUCCUAAUAUUGUACUGAGUUAUUUGUUAGUUAUAGUCUUCUAAAUCAUGGGCUGGUGUUAAAUGGUUGAGUUGAUUCUUUUGCAAGAGUUGUGUUGUCAGUAUAUGCAAUCAAGUAAAAAUACAAGUUUGUACUCGGUAGUAA